GACAGAGGAUGCAAGCGUUAUCCGGAAUGAUUGGCGUAAAGCGUCUGUAGGUGGCUUUUUAAGUCCGCCGUCAAAUCCCAGGGCUCAACCCCGGGAGGCGGGCGGAUACUGUCGGGCUAGAGUCCGGAAGAGGCGAGUGGAAUUCCUGGUGUAGCGGUGAAAUGCGCAGAUAUCAGGAGGAACACCGAUGGCGAAGGCAGAUCUCUGGGCCGUAACUGACGCUGAGGAGCGAAAGCAUGGGGAGCGAACAGG
rnacentral:rRNA from 1 species